rnacentral:rRNA from 1 species
GACGUAGGGCGCGAGCGUUGUCCGGAUUUAUUGGGCGUAAAGAGCUCGUAGGCGGCUUGUCGCGUCGAAUGUGAAAUCUCAGGGCUCAACUCUGACAUUGCAUUCGAUACGGGCAGGCUAGAGUUCGGUAGGGGAGAGUGGAAUUCCUGGUGUAGCGGUGAAAUGCGCAGAUAUCAGGAGGAACACCGGUGGCGAAGGCGGGUCUCUGGGCCGAUACUGACGCUGAGGAACGAAAGCCAGGGUAGCGAACGGG